AUUGAACGCUGGCGGCAGGCCUAACACAUGCAAGUCGAGCGGAGCGGCGGACGGGUGAGUAAUGCCUAGGAAUCUGCCUGGUGGUGGGGGAUAAAGUCCGGAAACGGGCGCUAAUAAAGCAUCCUAUCAGAUCAGCCUAGGUCGGAUUAGCUAGGUGGGGGGGAAAAGGCCUACAAAGGCGACGAUGCGUAGCUGGUCUGAGAGGAGGAUCAGUCACACUGGAACUGAGACACGGUCCAGACGCCUACGGGAGGCAGCAGUGGGGAAUAUUGGACAAUGGGCGAAAGCCUGAUCCAGCCAUGCCGCGUGUGUGAAGAAGGUCUUCGGAUUGUAAAGCACUGUAAGUUGGGAGGCGGUACCAACAGAAUAAGCCCCGGCUAACUACGUGCCAGCAGCCGCGGUAAUAC
rnacentral:rRNA from 1 species